AAAAACAUGCUUGUUUAUAUAACUACAAACUACCUGAAUACAUGCGAAAAAAUAUAAUAGACAAGACUUGGGCAGAAAUUGGGAACAAAUUUCAAAUAACAGGAUCAGAAGCUAAAGAAAAGUGGAAAAAUCUACGUAGUGUUUUUGUUCGCCACUUGAAACCAGCCAAAAGUGGAGCAGGUACUGCAC